CGUCUAGGCGGGGAGUUAAGUUAGGUGUGAAAUCUAUGGGCUCAACUCAUAAACUGCAUCUAAAACUGAUUCUCUUGAGUUCGGGAGAGGAAAGCGGAAUUCCCGGUGUAACGGUGAAAUGUGUAGAUAUCGGGAGGAACACCAGUGGCGAAGGCGGCUCUCUGGCCUAGAACUGACGCUGAAGCGCGAAAGCGCGGGUAGCGAACG
rnacentral:rRNA from 1 species